CACGUAGGCACCAAGCGUUGUCCGGAUUUAUUGGGCGUAAAGAGCUCGUAGGCUGUUCGGUAAGUCGGGUGUGAAAACUCAGGGCUCAACCCUGAGCCGCCACCCGAUACUGCUGUGACUCGAGUGCGGUAGGGGAGCGGGGAAUUCCUGGUGUAGCGGUGAAAUGCGCAGAUAUCAGGAGGAACACCAGUGGCGAAGGCGCCGCUCUGGGCCGUGACUGACGCUGAGGAGCGAAAGCGUGGGUAGCAAACAGG
rnacentral:rRNA from 1 species